rfam:Zea mays cultivar B73 chromosome 3, whole genome shotgun sequence.
UUAGCCAAGAAUGGCUUGCCUAUCUCCAUUAUUUUGUUCAUCGCAGGAAGCCCUUCCGUGAUGGAUGAAAUGUGGAUGAUGGCAUCCAUUCUUGGCUAAGU